UGAGUUUUCUUGUUACGGCAAAUUCACGCUGCCCUGUUUUUUUGUAGACCAGCCAGGAAAAACAAUUCAAGAUUUCGGUGUGCAGUAAAAUGCCCUUCUAUGUAUUACUGCAAACCUAAGAAACCUGAAAUCACAACCACGCAAAUUAUCUUGCACAAUGUGCGCAACUUGUUGAAUAGCAGUGGGACGUGCACUGUCAAGAUCUGCUUAUACACACCAAUGUGUUCCUCUGACCCCUUUGCUUUGAAGGCCAGCUGAGCCAUGGUAUGUCAUCCCUGACCUCUGUGCAGGGCUGUGACAGCUGGCAGACACAUCUCGGGGACAAAGCUGCUCUGCUCAUUGAAGGGAUGCUGCCAGAAGAUCCCAGCAGAAGGAGAUUUAGGAGAGAUUCCCAAACCAAAUCCAAGCCCAGACCUCCGAUAUCACUGACCCCAGAUCAGACCAGGAUACUUCUUAUGCUGAAGAAAAUGAGAAGAGUUACCCAACCGUAGGAGUAUGAAUCAACUCGGAGAAAGAAUAACCAAGAAUUUAAAGAACCAAAAUGCCAUUUUGAGGGAGAAGAGAGGAAAUGAAGGAUGAGUACCCAAGAAAGGAAUCCAGCCUCCACAUUCUGAAGCCUACAGAUUCUAAGUGAUAACUUUUGGAAAGACCUGAUUUAAUCGAAUUCAAGAUAUAGUGCUCAAUGCAAGAUUAACAAUGAAAUCCCAUGGCUUGAUUCACAGGCUACCUCCAGGCCUUUAGAACUGUGAGAGAAUAACAAAUUCAGUACAAAGGUUGUAAUGGUUGAAAGACUCAGAGGUGGUUUUUUUUGUCACAAGAACUGAUGCUGGGAACAUACCGGUGCUCAUAUACCUACUAAAGUGAAUGAUGAGCCAGGAGGAGAGGAAAGCCAAAAAGUACUUUAUCCUACAGCCGUACAGUGCCUUGUUUGAAUUGCACCCAUAGGCCCGGAUGCUUUACAUUACUCUCAGCUGUGACAAAUGCACAACUGCUCUGUGUAGCAGGGGUAACCUGAAACAGUCCAACGAGACUGAUUGGUCUUACAGAACUCACAGUGGUAAAGUACGUAGCUCCUGCAAACUUCUUAGUAACACAGACCAAAGCAAUCCAACAUCUAGACCAAUGCACGUGUUUUUGGAACAGACCAGUGUGGUCUUACAGGGUUAAAAAGAAAACAAUGACAAUUUUGCAACUAAAAGAGCACUUCUGUCCCCUUAUAUACAUAUGGAAACAACAGCAUUAUAAAAUCAUUACAUUCAUUGCCAUUUGAACACAUGAGAGUGUAUCAGAUAAAAUUGUUAUCGUACCACCUCUAUUAUGAAGUUCUAAUGUUGAGAUUAAUUUCCUUUAAUCUAAAAAAGCAGAGUCACAAUUGAGAUCUCUAAAACUUUCAGUAUUACUGUGCUAAAAUUCCACAUAAAUCUACUUAAAUACAGGUAUGUGGUGGUAGCCUACAGCUGACCUCCAGCCAAAAUCAUUAACAACUGAGUAUUUGUAUUUUAUCUAAUCUCCUUAUUAACACAAAGAUUCUGUUAUAUCUGUACUGAAUCUAUAAUUCUAACUAUGACAUCCUGUGAUAAUUCAUGUAAACUAAACUGGGACAAAGGGUAGCAAACAUCCUAAAAUAAUUUCAGCACAAGUACUAAUCUACUUUAAAUCCACGCACUUGAACUAUCCUUGAGGAAUUUAAUGUGCUUCUUGUACUAAUAUUUUUUCUGUGAAGUUAAUGUAGUAAUUUUCCCAUCAUUUUAAUGUGUUGCUGCUGUUCAUUAAAGCAGAGAUUAAGCUGCCAGGUGAUAGUAUGCUAUUAAGCCUAAAAAAACCCACAAACCAAACCAAACCAACCAACCAAAAAUUAAAAAAAGAAAAAAAAGAAAUCAACUAUUUUGACACUAACAAGGCAUAACAAGGCAUAAUUAGUGGCUGUAUCAAGCAUGUUUCCAAAGGGAUUUCUUAUAACAUUACACAACUUGUUGACAGUGCAAUGUGAAAUUCCAUGAGAUCUAUAUAUGUCAAAUUACAUGUUCAGCUUGUUGAAGGUUAAUGUAAAAUAUAUGUGAAAAUGAUAAGGUGGAAAUGAGAACUUCCAGCUGUCCUGAAUGCACCAUGAUCUACAUAUGUAUGUAUCAACUAAUGUACCGCACAACUCCUAAAAGCUGCUAAACAAUUUUGAUAGGGAAAACUUAUUUAUGUGAAACCCAUGCCCAUUUGAGAAAGAGCAGGAUGAAACUUUUCUCAAAAGACUUUAUAGUGCACUUGUAAAAAGCAGCAAUGCCCAGAGCAGUGCCCGGAGCAAUGCCUAAUGGGCAUUCUUCUUGGCUGCUAUAUUUAGAGAAAACAUUGAAAUUUGACUUUUCUUCAGCCAGAAGUAAAUGUCAGAAGAACUCACUGAGGGGUGGUGGGAUGUGGCAGAGCCAGUGCUUGCUUGAGGGAGAAAAGAAACAAGUCCCUCUGAUUUCAGAUUAGGCCUGAAGCCUCAGUGAUGCCUAAGAUGGGUUACUCCUUUCUUAUCUAUAGUGCAAAAAACAAAUGUAGAUACAGAGAUCAUGUAAGCAGUUGUCUAUGCAAACUGCACAUUUAAAUAUGUGAUACAAUAAACAACAUACUAUAUGCUACCAGUGAAAAACGUGAAGGUUCCCAUGAAGAGUUUACUGUCUGUUGCUUAUAAAGAGAAGCUAUGAUUCAGAACGCUUAUUGUCUAUCAAAUGUAUCAAUGGUAAAUUAUUUUAUAUCAACAUGACAGAGAAUAAGCAGUGCUAUUACCUGCAUGGAUGAUUUUCUUGCAGAAAUUCAUUUAGGUACAGCAUUUACGUAUUUCAACUUUCCAUAUUAAACGUGUACACAGGGCAGAGAGCCAAUGCCAGGAUAGAAAUAAUGAGCCCUGCAGCACAGCACGUUGUAAAGGACACUGUGCAAGAUCCAUGAAGCCAGUGGCCUUAAACAUCUGCUUAAAAAUGAAUGCAUGUGCCUUGAGUCCCUAUUUACUCACCAUUUCAAACAGCACUGUUGAACAACAACAGUGUUGCAGAUUUUUUACAGGAUCUACUCAGUACCAGCAAAAAUCCUUUGCUUUUUAGUCACCAAACUCUGUACCAGCUUUCAUGGCUUCAGUAAUGAACAACACAGACACUGUUAACAGAUCUGAACUUUUCAGCUCUAUUUCCACAAAAUACAAUUUUAAUAGUUUUUUUGAAGCACUGAAUUCCUCAUAUAACCUAUUAAAUAGCAAAAUAAUCAAUCUAAGGCCUAUUCAUCCUUCUGAUGAUUCCCCUUUUCAAGUAUUUGUACAUAUUUUCUAUUUGCAGGACUUACACAUGAAAGAUAAGCAUAAAACCCGACAGCAAUAAUAAACACUUCUGCAUGCUUGG